rnacentral:rRNA from 1 species
UGGUGGAGUGAUUUGUCUGGUUUAUUCCGAUAACGAACGAGACCUUAACCUGCUAAAUAGUCACCCGAACCCUGUGUUUGGGGCCGACUUCUUAGAGGGACUGUGGACGCGAAGUCCACGGAAGUUUGAGGCAAUAACA